AGUGAACGCUGGCGGUAGGCCUGACACAUGCAAGUCGAACGGCAGCACAGUAAGAGCUUGCUCUUACGGGUGGCGAGUGGCGGACGGGUGAGGAAUACAUCGGAAUCUACUUUUUCUUGGGGGAUAACGUAGGGACACUUACGCUAAUACCGCAUACGACCUACGGGUGAAAUCAGCGGAUCUUCGGCCCUUGCGCGAUUGAAUGAGCCGAUGUCGGAUUAGCUAGUUGGCGGGGUAAAGGCCCACCAAGGCGACGAUCCGUAGCUGGUCUGAGAGGAUGAUCAGCCACACUGGAACUGAGACACGGUCCAGACUCCUACGGGAGGCAGCAGUGGGGAAUAUUGGACAAUGGGCGCAAGCCUGAUCCAGCCAUACCGCGUGGGUGAAGAAGGCCUUCGGGUUGUAAAGCCCUUUUGUUGGGAAAGAAAAGCAGCAGGUUAAUACCCCGCUGUUCUGACGGUACCAAAAGAAUAAGCACCGGCUAACUUCGUG
rnacentral:rRNA from 1 species